rnacentral:rRNA from 1 species
UUGACCUCGGAUCAGGUAGGAAUACCCGCUGAACUUAAGCAUAUCAAUAAGCGGAGGAAAAGAAACCAACAGGGAUUGCCCUAGUAACGGCGAGUGAAGCGGCAACAGCUCAAAUUUGAAAUCUGGCUUUUCGGGCCCGAGUUGUAAUUUGUAGAGGAUGAUUUUGAUGCGGUGCCUUCCGAAUUCCCUGGAACG